rnacentral:misc_RNA from 1 species
GCACCUACCGAUUGAAUGGUUCGGUGAAAAUCUCGGACUGCGGCUUGGAUGCCUUCGGGCAACCAAGCUUUGGAAAGUUGUUUAAACCUCAUCAUUUAGAGGAAGGUGAAGUCGUAACAAGGUUUCCGUAGGUGAACCUGCAGAAGGAUCAAGAUCGAAGGAGGGUCGGGUAGGGAAAGAUGGUAGAUCCGGUUGGUGGCGGAACCAUUAAAAAAAAAAAAAUAGAACUGUGUGAGUGCAUCAAUACAUGCUAAAAAGUAAGACUAACACCAAUGCG